UGGGGAAUCUUGCACAAUGGGGGCAACCCUGAUGCAGCGACGCCGCGUGAGCGAUGAAGCCCUUCGGGGCGUAAAGCUCUUUCGACCGGAACGAUAAUGACGGUACCGGGAAAAGAAGCUGCGGCUAACUACGUGCCAGCAGCCGCGGUAAUACGUAGGCAGCAAGCGUUGUUCGGAGUUACUGGGCGUAAAGAGUGCGUAGGCGGUUUUCUAAGUUCGGUGUGAAAUCUCCCGGCUUAACUGGGAGGGUGCGCCGAAGACUGGGAAGCUGGAGUGUGGGAAAGGCAGGCGGAAUUCCUGGUGUAGCGGUGAAAUGCGUAGAUAUCAGGAGGAACACCUGCGGUGUAGACGGCUUGCUAGACCAUAACUGACGCUGAGGCACGAAAGCGUGGGUAGCAAACA
rnacentral:rRNA from 1 species